rnacentral:rRNA from 1 species
AACGCGAAGAACCUUACCUGGGCUCGAACGGCUUCUCAACGGCGGUGGAAACACCGCUACUCCGCAAGGGGGUGGAGUCGAGGUGCUGCAUGGCUGUCGUCAGCUCGUGUCGUGAGAUGUUGGGUUAAGUCCCGCAACGAGCGCAACCCUUGUCCUGUGUUGGCAUGUGUUUAGUAAUAAACGCGCAACUCUCAGGAGACCGCCAGCGAUAAGCUGGAGGAAGGUGGGGAUGACGUCAAGUCAUCAUGGCCUUUAUGUCCAGGGCCACACACGUGCUACAAUGGGCGGUACAAAGCGUCGCCAACCCGCGAGGGGGAGCUAAUCGCCAAAAACCGUCCUCAGUUCGGAUUGCAGGCUGCAACUCGCCUGCAUGAAGCUGGAAUCGCUAGUAAUGCUAUAUCAGAACGAUAGCGUGAAUACGUUCCCGGGCCUUGUA